AUUGCCGCUCUGCAGUCUCCGCCAAGUUCAUUCACGUUCAUUCACGUUUCAUCACCGCUGGCCGUCUAAUUAAAUCUUUGCUGUGCAUUCGAGCGCAACAGUUAAUUGCAUUCAUUUAUCGUUGAUGCAAAUAAUUUAAAACAUUUGAAAUUAACUCUUGAUGAUUGCCUUUGAAGAAAGUGAAAUCUCUUUCUCUCUCGCUACGAAAAAAAAAAAACAAAUCAAAAACACAAAUGGAUAAUGCUAUAAUUAUGUUAAUUUUAAUAACAGUUAAGUGUUAACACAGUUUAUUCGGUAACAAAGAGAAAUAAUCAUAAUAAUACUGAAAUAUA